CGCCUAGCCCGCUCAGAACUCAAAUAGAAUUGACGGGGCCGCACAAGCGUGGAGCAUGUGGUUUAAUUCGAUGAUACGCGAGGAACCUUACCUGGGUUCAAAUGUAUGUUGACGUAUUCUGAAAGGGAUACUUCUUCGGACAAUAUACAAGGUGCUGCAUGGUUGUCGUCAGCUCGUGCCGUGAGGUGUCGGGUUAAGUCCCAUAACGAGCGCAACCCCUAUCAUUAGUUGCCAUCAGGUCAAGCUGGGGACUCUAAUGAAACUGCCUACGCAAGUAGUGAGGAAGGUGGGGAUGACGUCAAAUCAGCACGGCCCUUACGUCCAGGGCUACACACGUGCUACAAUGGCCGGUACAAAGGGCAGCUACCUGGUGACAGGAUGCUAAUCUCAAAAGCCGGUCUCAGUUCGGAUCGGAGUCUGCAACCCGACUCCGUGAAGCUGGAAUCGCUAGUAAUCGCGCAUCAGCCAUGGCGCGGUGAAUACGUUCCCGGGCCUU
rnacentral:rRNA from 1 species